rnacentral:rRNA from 1 species
UGAGUAACCUGCCCUUGACUCUGGGAUAAGCCUGGGAAACCGGGUCUAAUACCGGAUAUGGCUGCCGGCCGCAUGGCCUGGUGGUGGAAAGCUUUAUUGCGGUUUUGGAUGGACUCGCGGCCUAUCAGCUUGUUGGCGGGGUAAUGGCCCACCAAGGCGACGACGGGUAGCCGGCCUGAGAGGGUGACCGGCCACACUGGGACUGAGACAUGGCCCAGACUCCUACGGGAGGCAG